CCUACGGGAGGCAGCAGUGGGGAAUCUUGCGCAAUGGGCGAAAGCCUGACGCAGCAACGCCGCGUGCGGGAUGAAGGCCUUCGGGUUGUAAACCGCUUUUAACAGGAACGAAAAUGACGGUACCUGUAGAAUAAGGUGCGGCCAACUACGUGCCAGCAGCCGCGGUGACACGUAGGCACCAAGCGUUGUCCGGAUUUAUUGGGCGUAAAGAGCUCGUAGGCGGUUCGAUAAGUCGGGUGUGAAAACUCUGGGCUUAACCCAGAGACGCCACUCGAUACUAUUGUGACUAGAGUUCGGUAGGGGAGCGGGGAAUUCCUAGUGUAGCGGUGAAAUGCGCAGAUAUUAGGAGGAACACCGGUGGCGAAGGCGCCGCUCUGGGCCGAAACUGACGCUGAGGAGCGAAAGCGUGGGUAGCAAACAGGAUUAGAUACCCUGGUAGUCCACGCCGUAAACGGUGGGCACUAGGUGUGGGCUCCAACCAACGGAGUCCGCGCCGUCGCUAACGCAUUAAGUGCCCCGCCUGGGGAGUACGGCCGCAAGGUUAAAACUCAAAUGAAUUGACGG
rnacentral:rRNA from 1 species